ensembl:snoRNA
UGCAUCUUUGAUGAUGAUUUGGCUCCCUCUACUGAAUUCUGUGAGGAGGAAAGCCAUCGUUACCCAAUUUUGUCUGAGAUGCA